GUAUUUAUUGUUGGAAUCCCCUAGUUUGAUCCAUUUAGCUCUUGACUUUUGCUGCAAAGCUAACUCUUCAAUUAAUGACCAUUUCUCUAGCUGCUGUACCAUAGAUUUUGCUCUUUGCUGAAGUGUAUCUGAAUAAGAAAUAGCCAUUUGAUGCUGCACUUCUUCCAGUUCUUUCCUGCUGCUUUCAAUCUUCUGAGAAAUAUUCUUAAAA
rnacentral:lncRNA from 1 species